UGGGUCAAUGAUGACCAUUGGUACAUUAUCAUGAUUACAGUUCUGGAAGUCUGAGGUCCAC
rnacentral:snoRNA from 1 species